rnacentral:lncRNA from 1 species
GACGAAAAGCAGCAGAACUCUAGGCGCGAUACAAUCUGCUCGCCAACCCCUCCCCUAAUGACUAACUGCCAGGCUCGAGCCCGCUCCGUUUGAAUCUAUCGGCUCUAUUUCCUAUUGGUCUGCUGGCACAGCCAAUGACGUCCCUCAGGCGCUUCUCGUGUCCCGCCCUCUCGCCGACCCACCAAUCAUUGGAAGACGCAGAGUAGAGUGCGGACAGCUGGGAGAGAGGAAAGGCGGGGCCCGGGCCGGGGCGCGCCGCCGGAGCAGCGCAGUGAUUGGCCGAUAUCUUCUGGGACAGUCUGGUCCUGUGUGAAGCCCCUUUCUAUAUCAGAUUUUCUUGGACUGCGGAGUUUCCACUUCUUUUUUAUUUGUUUGCUUGGUUGGUUUGUUUUCAUAUAGUGUCUUUUGUGAUCAUAUUAUGUUCCAUGCCACAUGCCAUUGAAAUAUGAAUAGUGAAGAUGAUAGUAGGAGUGUUCCAGUUUUGUUUUUAAGAUGAGGCCUUUCAUAAUGUUUUAUACAGAGCUUUAAAUCUAGAUGCUCAAGAGUAGAUGAGGUUAUAGAGCAAACAGCUGCACUGCUGCUGCUGGAGAGAGACGGGGGGGAACAGUAGCUGCUAUAUGGAGGUAAAAGGGAACAAAAGUGAACUUUAUUCAAGGAAGCAAAAAAGAUAAGAAUGCAGAGAUUCUAAUGUGCUGAGUUUAAAACAAACAUUCAAAAGCAAAUGAGAAAGACUCUUGUAAUCUUGCACUGUUUGUACACUGUUGCUAAUUAACAGGCUUUGCUGGUCUUAACUGGCUCUUCAAUAAUAUUGUAAGCAAGAGAAAUAUGUGUUUGCUUCUGAUCCUUCUCUUGAAUGUUCCGUAAUGGAAGUUAUAUCCCACUGAGUACUGAAUAGCAAAGUAUUUAAUGGCACAACUGAAAUACUGCUCCAUUUUAUACUUGAAUGAAAUGCAUUUAUAUUCAUUAAUUUAUGUAUUUUUUCAUCUGCAAAUCUUUUCACAGUGGAGAUAAGGAAAUAUGGUACCUUUUCUGAAAUGUUUAUAAUGUGUUACCUGUAUCUAUCAGCAAUCCCAGUAAAUCAGUAAAUCCCAGUCAAUAUAGUGGAGCCUAGAAUAGGGUUAUAGAAAAGUUUCCUAUAAGAUUUAUUGCAAAAUUCUCUCUUAGAUUCUUAAGAAAAAUAAAGUAAUAUGUUUGCUUGUUUGUUUUCA